rnacentral:tRNA from 1 species
GGCUGAAUGGUUUAGUGGUAUAAUUCUUGCUUUGGGUGUAAGAGGUCCUGGGGUGAGCAACAUCUAAAAAUGCCUUCAUGGCCUGCAUUGAUUCUAACAAUCACCCAGUUCAAUUCCCAGUUCAGCCC